GGGCGAAGUCGUAACAAGGUAGCCGUACCGGAAGGUGCGGCUGGAUCACCUCCUUUUAAAGGAG
rnacentral:rRNA from 1 species